AAGAUUCCCGUAUUUCUACAUUAAUUCUGUAUUUUCACAAGUAAAAUGGAUAUACUAGUUAAAGAAGAUUUAUUAGAAGAGAAAAGAACCUUACAAGAACUGACCCUGUGUAAGGUUUGUCUGGACGCCUAUGUGUCCUGUGUGUUACUACCGUGUGGACACUUUGUAUGUUGUUCUGACUGUGCUCCAGCGAUAAUAACGUGCCCGAUUUGUAGGGGGAAAAUCACUGACUUCCUAUAUGCCAAAGUGGAUUGAGAAGAAGGGUGAAGACUUAAACUUUAACUUCCCCAAGUGAAGUAGAUAUAUGUUAAGUUUACUCUUUUGACUGUAUAGAGAAUUCUGUAUAUUUUUGAAAUAUUGUAAGUUAUGAAUGUUGCGAGAGAGAGAAAAUGGAUAUUUGAUUAAAUAGCAUAAAUGUACAUUAGAAUAAGAGAAUUUUAAAAGCUAUACAAAGCAAUGUUAAAACCAAUUUUAUGUGGAAAAAAAUUUAAUGAUUUGAGAUGUAUGUUUUGUAAUAAAAAAAAAUAACAAGUUUUAAAA